UACGUAGGGGGCAAGCGUUGUCCGGAUUUAUUGGGCGUAAAGAGCGUGUAGGCGGCUUUACAAGUCCGUUGUAAAAAACCUCGAGGCUCAACCUCGAGACGCCGGUGGAAACCGUAAGGCUAGAGUCCGGAAGAGGAGAGUGGAAUUCCUGGAUGUAGCGGUGAAAUGCGCGAGAUAUCAGGAGGAACACCAAUAGCGAAGGCAGCUCGCUGGGACGGUACUGACGCUGAGGCGACGGAAAGCGUGGGGAGCGAACAGG
rnacentral:rRNA from 1 species